rnacentral:SRP_RNA from 1 species
CCGUGCUAGACGGGGAGGUAGCGGUGCCCUGUAACCCGCAAUCCGCUAUAGCGGGGUCGAAUUCCCUCCCGAGGGCGGUCCGUGUUGAAUGAGCUCCGCGGGGAGGCGAUGACGGUUGGGCCCCACGCAACGGGAAUCGCCGAACCCCGCCAGGCCCGGAAGGGAGCAACGGUAAGGCGACCCUCCCGUGUGCCGUGGGAGUACCUGGCCCGAGCCGAGCCCACGGAGAGAUCGCAGGACGGGGCGUUCGGAGGAGGGUGCACGG